AUUGAACGCUGGCGGCAUGCCUAACACAUGCAAGUCGAACGGGGUGUAGCAAUACAUCUAGUGGCGGACGGGUGAGGAAUACAUAGGAAUUUGCCCUUAAGUGGGGGAUAGUCCGGGGAAACUCGGUUUAAUACCGCAUGAUCUCGUGAGAGCAAAGCAGGGGACCGCAAGGCCUUGCGCUUUUGGAGAAGCCUAUGUCGGAUUAGCUAGUUGGUAGGGUAAUGGCCUACCAAGGCAACGAUCCGUAACUGGUCUGAGAGGAUGAUCAGUCACACCGGAACUGAGACACGGUCCGGACUCCUACGGGAGGCAGCAGGUGGGGAAUAUUGGACAAUGGCGCAAGCCUGAUCCAGCAAUGCCGCGUGUGUG
rnacentral:rRNA from 1 species